rnacentral:rRNA from 1 species
UACGGGGGGAGCAAGCGUUGUUCGGAAUUACUGGGCGUAAAGGGCUCGUAGGCGGCCAACUAAGUCAGACGUGAAAUCCCCCGGCUUAACCUGGGAACUGCGUCUGAUACUGGAAGGCUUGAGUAUGGGAGAGGGAUGUAGAAUUCCAGGUGUAGCGGUGAAAUGCGUAGAUAUCUGGAGGAAUACCGGUGGCGAAGGCGGCAUCCUGGACCAUUACUGACGCUGAGGCGCGAAAGCUAGGGGAGCAAACGGG